ACCAGUGUGGUGUAGUGGUUUGAGUACUGGACUAGGAGUCUGGAAACCAGGGUUCGAAUCCCAGCUCGGCCA